rnacentral:rRNA from 1 species
UAGGGAAUCUUCCACAAUGGGCGAAAGCCUGAUGGAGCAACGCCGCGUGUGUGAUGAAGGGUUUCGGCUCGUAAAACACUGUUGUAAGAGAAGAAUGACAUUGAGAGUAACUGUUCAAUGUGUGACGGUAUCUUACCAGAAAGGAACGGCUAAAUACGUGCCCAG